rnacentral:rRNA from 1 species
UACGUAGGGGGCAAGCGUUGUCCGGAAUCAUUGGGCGUAAAGAGCGUGUAGGCGGCCCGGUAAGUCCGCUGUGAAAGUCCAGGGCUCAACCCUGGGAUGCCGGUGGAUACUGUCGGGCUCGAGUCCGGAAGAGGAGUGUGGAAUUCCUGGUGUAGCGGUGAAAUGCGCAGAUAUCAGGAGGAACACCAAUGGCGAAGGCAGCACUCUGGGACGUGACUGACGCUGAGACGCGAA